GAUGGGAUGCUACACUGGAUGGACAUUUUGGCAUUACGAGAUGGAUCCUACCAGAUGCAUCAGGAAUAUCUCUCUGCAUUCCUAUGUAAAAGAAUAGCUGUUCUAAGGCUAAUGAAUCUGAAGAUAACCAUACAGUUUAGAUUGCUGCUGUUUCGGUCCAUUUUUACUAUAUCAUGCUAGAAUGAUUGCUACCAUUGUCAAUUGUCAAAGCUAUAAGAUCCACCUAGAAUCUUCCGAAAAGCAAGGUAGGAAGCUGAUAAGAGCCAUCGAAGAUCUGCAUUCUAUAUGCAAAAGGCUAGCCUUUCCUAGGUUCUCUCUGUUCUUAAAACUUUCAACUAUUGUGCUUCAUAAAUCAAUGGAGUAAGGAUUCUCAAAAUAUCUGGACAUUAUAAGUCAGAACGAUAAAGCCUUUUCUGCCAGACACAGAAUGUGAAGAUUAAAUAUCAAAACUAUUGACUGUUUCUAUGUUUGGCCUAGAAAUUAACUGAAUUCCUCCUUUAUUAAUAAGAUAUUGUUUUGGCCAGUUCUGUGGUGGAAAGAUCAUCCUGGGCUCAGUUGAUAACAUCUGUACUUCGUGGUUCGUAUUGGCAGGUUUUGGGUUCUUUUAGAGCUGAGACAUUGAAAGCUUGUCAGUGGUGCAUUAUACAGUUAUGAUUUGUUUCUCUUUCUUGUUUAGAAGGAAGCAAGCUUAAUCAGCUAGAGAGACUGUUGAAGUUGUUGAAGAAGUUUCAAGCAUCCAGAAAGUUAAACAGUACACAUACAGAGAAUUAAAAAAUGCUACCGAAGAUUUUAGUCACAAAAAUAAAAUAGGGGAAGGUGGUUUUGGUUGUGUCUACAAGGGAAGGCUUAGGGACAGCAA